rnacentral:rRNA from 1 species
UACGGAGGGUGCAAGCGUUAUCCGGAUUCACUGGGUUUAAAGGGUGCGUAGGAGGGCAGGUAAGUCAGUGGUGAAAUCUGUGGGCUUAACCCACAAACUGCCGUUGAUACUAUCUGUCUUGAAUAUUGUGGAGGUGAGCGGAAUAUGUCAUGUAGCGGUGAAAUGCUUAGAUAUGACAUAGAACACCAAUUGCGAAGGCAGCUCGCUACACAUAUAUUGACUCUGAGGCACGAAAGCGUGGGGAUCAAACAGG